rnacentral:rRNA from 1 species
GAUGAACGCUGGCGGCGUGCUUAACACAUGCAAGUCGAACGGGAAACCUUUUAAUGAAGCUUCGGCAGAUUUAGCUGGUUUCUAGUGGCGGACGGGUGAGUAACGCGUGGGUAACCUGCCUUAUACAGGGGGAUAACAGUCAGAAAUGACUGCUAAUACCGCAUAAGCGCACAGGACCGCAUGGUCCGGUGUGAAAAACUCCGGUGGUAUAAGAUGGACCCGCGUUGGAUUAGCUUGUUGGUGGGGUAACGGCUCACCAAGGCGACGAUCCAUAGCCGGCAUGAGAGGGUGAACGGCCACAUUGGGACUGAGACACGGCCCAGACUCCUACGGGAGGCAGCAGUGGGGAAUAUUGCACAAUGGGGGAAACCCUGAUGCAGCGACGCCGCGUGAAGGAAGAAGUAUCUCGGUAUGUAAACUUCUAUCAGCAGGGAAGAUAGUGACGGUACCUGACUAAGAAGCCCCGGCUAACUACGUG